rnacentral:rRNA from 1 species
UUAAGCGACUAAGCGUACACGGUGGAUGCCCUGGCAGUCAGAGGCGAUGAAGGACGUGCUAAUCUGCGAUAAGCGUCGGUAAGGUGAUAUGAACCGUUAUAACCGGCGAUUUCCGAAUGGGGAAACCCAGUGUGUUUCGACACACUAUCAUUAACUGAAUCCAUAGGUUAAUGAGGCGAACCGGGGGAACUGAAACAUCUAAGUACCCCGAGGAAAAGAAAUCAACCGAGAUUCCCCCAGUAGCGGCGAGCGAACGGGGAGCAGCCCAGAGCCUGAAUCAGUGUGUGUGUUAGUGGAAGCGUCUGGAAAGGCGCGCGAUACAGGGUGACAGCCCCGUACACAAAAAUGCACAUACUGUGAGCUCGAUGAGUAGGGCGGGACACGUGGUAUCCUGUCUGAAUAUGGGGGGACCAUCCUCCAAGGCUAAAUACUCCUGACUGACCGAUAGUGAACCAGUACCGUGAGGGAAAGG